rnacentral:rRNA from 1 species
AGAGUUUGAUCAUGGCUCAGGGUGAACGCUGGCGGUACGCCUAACACAUGCAAGUCGAACGGAUUUUAUAGAUCAAGACUUCGGUUGAGAUUUAUAAAAUUAGUGGCAAACGGGUGAGUAAUGCAUAAAUAACAUGCCCCUAAGUUUGGGAUAACAUUCUGAAAAGGAUGCUAAUACCGGAUAUUAUCCUUUUUUCGCAUGAAGAAGGGAUGAAAGAUUUAUCACUUAGGGAGUGGUUUAUGUCUGAUUAGCUAGUUGGUGAGGUAACAGCUUACCAAGGCGAUGAUCAGUAGCUGGUCUGAGAGGAUGGUCAGCCACACUGGAACUGAGACACGGUCCAGACUCCUACGGGAGGCAGCAGUGGGGAAUCUUGCGCAAUGGGCGAAAGCCUGACGCAGCGAUACCGCGUGAGUGACGAAGUCUUUCGGGAUGUAAAACUCUGUCAAGAGGGACGAUAAUGACGGUACCUCUAAAGGAAGCACCGGCUAACUACGUGCCAGCAGCCGCGGUAAUACGUAGGGUGCAAGCGUUACCCGGAAUUAUUGGGCAUAAAGAGCUCGUAGGCGGUAAUUUAAGUCAGAUGUGAAAUCCUUAGGCUCAACUUAAGUUAGCAUCUGAAACUGAAUUACUAGAGGUCAGGAGAGGAAAGCGGAACUCAUGGUGUAGCGGUGAAAUGCGUAGAUAUCAUGAGGAACACCAGUUGCGAAGGCGGCUUUCUGGCCUGAUUCUGACGCUGAGGAGCGAAAGCAUGGGGAGCAAACGGGAUUAGAUACCCCGGUAGUCCAUGCCGUAAACGGUGUUCACUAGGUGUAGGAGGUAUCGACCCCUUCUGUGCCACAGAUAAUUCGUUAAGUGAACCGCCUGGGAAGUACGACCGCAAGGUUAAAACUCAAAGGAAUUGACGGGGGCCCGCACAAGCAGUGGAGCAUGUGGUUUAAUUCGACGGUACACGAAGAACCUUACCAGGGCUUGUAUCUGCAGAAUCCCCUAGAAACAGGGGAGUGCCCGCAAGGGAACUGCAAGACAGGUGGUGCAUGGCUGUCGUCAGCUCGUGUCGUGAGAUGUUGGGCUAAGUCCCGCAACGAGCGCAACCCUCGUUCUGUGUUGCCAGCACUUUCAGGUGGGAACUCACAGAAGACUGCCUGUGUUAAGCAGGAGGAAGGUGAGGACGACGUCAAGUCAUCAUGCCCCUUACGCCCUGGGCUACACACAUGCUACAAUGGUCGGUACAAAGGGUUGCUAGGCCGCGAGGUCAUGCUAAUCUUAAAAACCGAUCUUAGUACGGAUUGUAGUCUGAAACUCGACUACAUGAAGCUGGAAUUGCUAGUAAACGCAAAUCAGCUAUGUUGCGUUGAAUACGUUCUCGGGCCUUGUACACACCGCCCGUCACAC